GAUGAACGCUGGCGGCGUGCCUAACACAUGCAAGUCGAACGAAGCGAUUUUGCGGAAGUUUUCGGAUGGAAGUAAAAUUGACUGAGUGGCGGACGGGUGAGUAACGCGUGGGUAACCUGCCUCACACUGGGGGACAACAGUUAGAAAUGACUGCUAAUACCGCAUAAGCGCACAGUACCGCAUGGUACGGUGUGAAAAACUCCGGUGGUGUGAGAUGGACCCGCGUCUGAUUAGAUAGUUGGUGGGGUAACGGCCUACCAAGUCGACGAUCAGUAGCCGACCUGAGAGGGUGACCGGCCACAUUGGGACUGAGACACGGCCCAA
rnacentral:rRNA from 1 species